UACAGAGGUCUCGAGCGUUGUUCGGAUUCAUUGGGCGUAAAGGGUGCGUAGGUGGUCUGGUAAGUCGGAUGUGAAAUCCCGGGGCUUAACCUCGGAAACUGCAUUCGAUACUGCCGGACUGGAGUACUGGGAGAGGAGAUCGGAAUUUACGGUGUAGCAGUGAAAUGCGUAGAUAUCGUAAGGAAGACCAGUGGCGAAGGCGGAUCUCUGGACAGUUACUGACACUGGAGCACGAAGGCCAGGGGAGCAAACCGGG
rnacentral:rRNA from 1 species